GCACCUGAAUCUUUCCCAUUCCUUGCAGCUCAGUGCAAGUCUGGGGACAUAUGGUGCAUACAGCAAAGCAGAGUAAAUCCAGACAGGUGGUUUUUCUCUUUCACUGAGUGCUUGUCUCUACACCUCUGCGAUAGCU
ensembl:snoRNA small nucleolar RNA, H/ACA box 55